UACAGAGGUCUCAAGCGUUGUUCGGAUUCAUUGGGCGUAAAGGGUGCGUAGGCGGCGCGGUAAGUCGGGUGUGAAAUCUCGGAGCUUAACUCCGAAACUGCAUUCGAUACUGCCGUGCUUGAGGACUGGAGAGGAGACUGGAAUUUCCGGUGUAGCGGUGAAAUGCGUAGAUAUCGGAAGGAACAUCAGUGGCGAAAGCGACUUCCUGGACCAAUACUGACGCUCAUGGUGCGAAAAGCGUGGGGAGCAAACAGG
rnacentral:rRNA from 1 species